UGUGAGAUCUCUAUCCAAACUCUUCCAAAAUCCAAACUAUUAACCUUAUUAUAUAUGAGUCUUACCCAGCUUUUAUUUUGGCAAUUUCUGCAGUUUUCCUGACCAUGUGGCUUUUUCUUAUAAUCAUAACUCAAGGGCCCAAGCUUUAUUUUGAGGACCCUUCCCUCCACUCAAUCUCAACAUGCUCUCCCUUUUUCACCGAAAAGCUUACGGUAAUAAUAAUGAAGUCACAAACUUCACUGACUUUUUACAUUAGCCCUCCUCAAACAAACUCCAUCCUCUAUUACCCCAUACCCCAAUCUCAGAAUUUAGAGAGAGAGAAAGAGAGAUGCUGGUUCAUCAGAGUUGCAGACUUUCCAGUAAGUGAACAUCUUUCCCCUAUUGCUGUGUUUCUCAUUUUUGAUGUGUUCAUGAAAUUCUUUCUGUACUGUCCUGUAAAAGCAUGUCAAUUUUUCAAUAGGAAACAGUAGAAUUCAGGCAGCACGUACCAAAUGCAUUUCUAAUAUAGAGAGAGGGAGACUGGAAAAAGCACAGUAAAAGCAUAGAAUCAGCCUUAACUCUCCUGCUUAAAGAGAGAGAGAGAGAGAGAGAGAGAGAGAGAGAGCAAGCAGUUUGCACGCAAAACCAACCAAUUUCAUUUCUUUCCAAUCCUGAACAUAGGGGGAGCUACACAUGAUAACCAAAAAAUAAGAAGAAGAAAACCUUUUUCUUCUUCUGUGGGAGCUACACAUGAUAACCAAAAAUAAAUAAGAAGAAAACCCUUCUUCUCUUCUGUGCCUGCAGAAAGCAGACAUGUAUACACACUCAAAAGGCUUAUUUGCCCUGCACACCAAAAAAACAAAUACCAAUCCACCAAUCCACUUCAACUGGUCAAUCCUAAUCUUACUCUUUUCUUCUUUCCUUUUUUUUGUUUUUUUCUCUGUUUUUCUUUCUGACUACUUCUCUCUUUUUCUCUCAGUGCCGACUAUACUUACACUCACGGACACAUUAUGUAAUUCUUCAGUUUCUGUACAUAUAAAACUGAUAAAGACCUGACCAUUUAUCACAAAAAGACGAUAAAAGAACACACAUUCAUAAGAUAAGAAAGAAUGGUGAGUAGACCCCCUGUGUGUUUUUGAAGAGGGAUAAAGGAGGCUGAAAUCAAAGGGCAUGAGUAAGUGCCCUCCUGCAAGAUGGUGGGGAUGUCUUGUUAGAAGAGGUCGGAAUGGAGGUAGUUUUCUGGAUUGGCGAUGGGGUCGCCAGACCGAAUGUACUUAAUAGGAAUUGCCUCUCCUGAAGAAUGGACAGACACCAUGUUAGAGAAAGAGAGAGAGAAAGAGAGAGAGAGAGAAAGUGUGUGUGUGUGUGUGUGUAUUGGAAUGUGUAUUGUAUUAUGUGCAUUUCUUUUCCUACUUGGAAUGUGUUUUGUAUAUGUGCAUUUCUUUUUCUACUUUCUUACCAUUAUUCAUGAUAAUUCUUUUUUUUUCUACACCUACAUACAUACACACAGAUCAAUGGAAUCUAGUGUUUAACUAAGCUACUGCUGAAUGGAACUGGCAGAACUGAUGGAACCCAUUGCAUGUGAUAGAAGAGAGUGUCAAUGGUGAUAAGUUAGACAAAGCUUGAAAGGAGAAAUGUAGAGUGUCAAUGGUGAUAAGUUCGGCAAAGCUUGAAAGGAGAAAUGCAGGGAAACAGUAAAGGUACGUGUUUUCUUUUCUUUUUUUUCUUUUUUUAAAUAUGAAAUAUGUUUCACCUCAUACAAUGUACUCAACUUAGAAAUCUCAAGAGAUUCAGGGGAACCAAGAGAGCCUAUGUUUUUUGAAAUAUGAAAUAUGUUAACAACUGUGUUUCCUCAAUAGUGAGAAUCUUUAGUUUUAACAAGAAACAUGCCACUGUUUUCUUAUCAUGUCCAGUGGCCAGUGCUUCUUGCAAACCACAGUCAACUAUCGUCAUCUUUUCGAACAACUGAAAGAUAAAUAUACGUUCCAAAUAUUGUAGUGUAGGAGUUUAUACAUUACACAAACCAACUAAUUUGGAUGUAUGAGGUACAGGAAUAUUGGUCUUUCCAGGGUUCUCUUCUGCCCAACAAGUGAUAUGCAUAUCUGCAGGUAAGAAAAAUUCCUGCACCUCCCUCUCUCUCUCUCUUCCUCUACUGGUACGUACGGAGACGAAGGCCAACUACCGNGGGGUAAAUGGGNNNNNNNNNNNNNNNNNNNNGUUACGUUACGUUACGUACGUACGUACGUACGUACGUAGUAGUACGUAUACGUACUACGUACGUAACGUAACGUAACGUACUACUCCUCCUCCUCCUCUCUCUCUCUCUCUCUCUCUCUCUCUCUCUCUCUCUCUCUCUCCUCCUCCUCCUCCUCCUCCUCCUCCUCCUCCUCCUCCUCCUCCUCUCUCUCUCUCUCUCUCUCUCUCUCUCUCUCUCUCUCUGCAUAUUGUGCGUGUGCAUGUGUGACUUAAACAUCAAACAACAGAAUAAACUGAGGGAACAUUUAGCAAAUGCUUCUUACACUGUCUGAAAACUGUGGACUCGGAAUACCAUCAGCGAAUGACCGAAAAAAUGGGAUCAUUCGAAGAGGAGAUGAGAACUCCACAUUCACUGAGAAACACGAGAACUUUCCAUCUUCAUUUGGCUGGAUGCAAGAUGAUAAUAGCCCCUCUGCAUCAAAAACCAAGACUCAAUCCAAUGCCAAUCCCAACAAAGCCAGACAAAACCAUAAAAAAAGAGGGGGGUCAUGCCUGUAGAAUAACCAUCUUCAAUUCCUUGAAUCUCUUCUUCAUUUUUCUCCCCAAUGCAAUCAUCUGUGUUUUCUUCCUUGUUAAAGGCUACGCAUUCUUCUGUUUGUCUUUGAUCUAUUUUGGUUAUUUCUGCAUUAGACUGGGGAUUUGAGAUGGCACUGUCUCCAGAAUUUGCUGAUAGGUCCUCAUACAAUUCAGAUUGCCUAUGCAAUGAAACCGACCAUAUUUUGUCACCAUCUUGGGCUGUCAAAUUACUAUAGCUUCUUGAAUAAUAAUUGGCUUAUUACCUCAAUGGAAAAGGGCUCCCUGUUUGACUGCUUUUCAAAUCUGUAAUCAAGUUUUUGAAGUCUUCAAAUAGUGGAUCAAGACCGGCAACUUUGUGUCUCAAAAUAUCUGAAUCUCCACUCUGAGCUAAGAACUCCUGGAGUUCCUGUAGUUCACAGAACAUUAAAUAUGAGGUACAAAUUUAAGAAAAAUGUUUAUUCAAAUUAAAGAAUAUUUUUUGAAAUUAAGUUCUUUUAGUAAAUAUUAUUGUUUCUAAUGUAAAGUGAGCAGCUUAGGGUCCAUUUGAUUGUCAAAUUAGAUCCAAGGAGUUUUUUUUUUUUUUUUCUCAAUUUAUAUUUGACCAAAUCAUAUUUUGGUGAAUUUUCAUUUCCUGCUUACAGGUGUGUGAUUGUCCCAAUUUGAAUUGCAAUUUUUUAUUGUGCGGUGCAAUGGUUAGGUGUGGCCAUGUGCAACGGAGGUGGUAGUGGUGGAGUGGUGGUGUUGGUGGUGGCAGCAGUGGAAUGGUGGUGGUUGUGGCUGGAUCGUGGUGGUUAUGGCAGUGCGGUGGUGGUCGUGGCAGUGCACUGGUGUUGGUGGCGAUAUGGGUGGCAAUGGUGGUGGGGUUUUGGUAAAGAGAGAGACAAUUGAUGCAAAAACCACUCCUAGUGGUUUUUCCACAGAUGACAAUUGGGGGUCGAAAAAUCAAUUGCAAUUUCAAAAUCUAACAGACCUACAGGGUCACAUUGUAAUUGGCCAGAUUUGUAAUUUGGUCCAAGUUACAAUUUGGCCUCAAUUUGGCUAGAAAUGAAAUGCGCCCUUAGUAUGUGGUUAUGGCCUUAAUGUGAGACCAAACUGAGAACAUGGAUCAGAAAUGCUUUACGAUAUUUGCAUUUGCUC
rnacentral:lncRNA from 1 species